GAUGAACGCUGGCGGCGUGCCUAAUACAUGCAAGUCGAGCGAAUGGAUUAAGAGCUUGCUCUUAUGAAGUUAGCGGCGGACGGGUGAGUAACACGUGGGCAACCUGCCCCUCACUUCGGGAUAACUCCGGGAAACCGGGGCUAAUACCGGAUACGACCUCCUUGGGCAUCCUUGGAGGUGGAAAGUGUUUCGGUGAGGGAUGGGCCCGCGGCCUAUCAGCUUGUUGGUGAGGUAGUGGCUCACCAAGGCGACGACGGGUAGUCGGCCUGAGAGGGUGACCGGCCACACUGGGACUGAGACACGGCCCAGACUCCUACGGGAGGCAGCAGUGGGGAAUAUUGCACAAUGGGCGCAAGCCUGAUGCAGCAACGCCGCGUGAGGGAUGACGGCCUUCGGGUUGUAAACCUCUUUUAGUAGGGAAGAAGCGAAAGUGACGGUACCUGCAGAAAAAGCACCGGCUAACUACGUGCCAGCCGCCGCAGUAA
rnacentral:rRNA from 1 species